AAUGUAGACUUGGGAAAUAAGAUCUUCAACUACAAGAUGAAACGAUUAAAUUGGCUCGGAAUUGGACUGGUUCAACCUGGAACAGAUGCUAGUUCAGGAAGUGGUAUUAUAUACUUCAUUGAAACAAUUCAAGAAUUAGCAUUGGUUGUUCUAACUCUGGCUUGGCAUAUUGGUUGAGUAUAUGAGGCUUCUUAUUAUUUACAACAAUGUGCUA
rnacentral:misc_RNA from 1 species